UACGAAGGGGGCAAGCGUUGUUCGGAAUUACUGGGCGUAAAGGGCGCGUAGGCGGCCUUCUAAGUCGAACGUGAAAUCCCCGGGCUCAACCCGGGAACUGCGUCCGAUACUGGAAGGCUUGAAUCCGGGAGAGGGAUGCGGAAUUCCAGGUGUAGCGGUGAAAUGCGUAGAUAUCUGGAGGAACACCGGUGGCGAAGGCGGCAUCCUGGACCGGUAUUGACGCUGAGUGAGCGAAAGCCAGGGGAGCAAACGGG
rnacentral:rRNA from 1 species